rnacentral:rRNA from 1 species
CACUCCUGCGGGAGGCAGCAGUGGGGAAUUUUGGACAAUGGGGGCAACCCUGAUCCAGCAAUGCCGCGUGAGUGAAGAAGGCCUUCGGGUUGUAAAGCUCUUUUGUCAGGGAAGAAACGGUGGUGGCGAAUAACUACUACUAAUGACGGUACCUGAAGAAUAAGCACCGGCUAACUACGUGCCAGCAGCCGCGGUAAUACGUAGGGUGCAAGCGUUAAUCGGAAUUACUGGGCGUAAAGCGUGCGCAGGCGGUUGUGUAAGUCAGAUGUGAAAUCCCCGGGCUCAACCUGGGAAUUGCAUUUGAGACUGCACGGCUAGAGUGUGUCAGAGGGGGGUAGAAUUCCACGUGUAGCAGUGAAAUGCGUAGAUAUGUGGAGGAAUACCGAUGGCGAAGGCAGCCCCCUGGGAUAACACUGACGCUCAUGCACGAAAGCGUGGGGAGCAAACAGGAUUAGAUACCCCUGUAGUCCCAUGAU